rnacentral:rRNA from 1 species
UACGAAGGGGGCUAGCGUUGUUCGGAAUCACUGGGCGUAAAGCGCACGUAGGCGGAUUGUUAAGUCGGGGGUGAAAUCCUGAGGCUCAACCUCAGAACUGCCUUCGAUACUGGCAAUCUCGAGUCCGGAAGAGGUUGGUGGAACAACUAGUGUAGAGGUGAAAUUCGUAGAUAUUAGCUAGAACACCAGUGGCGAAGGCGGCCAACUGGUCCGGUACUGACGCUGAGGUGCGAAAGCGUGGGGAGCAAACAGG